CAUAUUGGUCUGUCGCUACGGCACUGUAAUCGCCAGUUUGCGAAUAUCCCUGACUAUAGUCGGCUUGGUAGUUUGUUUGCGCAUAACGCGCGUCAUGUUGUCCAUACGAUUGACUAAAAUUAUGAAAUUUAUCAGUAAAUUGUGAAAUGUCGAGAUAAGGUCAAACCGAACAAAUAAUUAUCUUCAACGGGCACGAAAUUCCUGCGAGUCAAAUUACUGAGAUGGAUGUUGCCUUACAUCGUAUUGUUGCGAAAGGACGUCAGCAGGACUCUUCGCCGAUUCGAACCCAAAGACGUCAUCGGAGUAACUCCCGUUCUCGACCUCAAAAAUCCAACGAAAAAUCCGGGCAUUCA